rnacentral:rRNA from 1 species
GAUGAACGCUAGCGGGAGGCCUAACACAUGCAAGCCGAGCGGUAUAGAUCUUUCGGGAUCUUGAGAGCGGAGUACGGGUGCGGAACACGUGUGCAACCUGCCUUUAUCUGGGGGAUAGCCUUUCGAAAGGAAGAUUAAUACCCCAUAAUAUUUAGAAUGGCAUCAUUUUAAAUUGAAAACUCCGGUGGAUAGAGAUGGGCACGCGCAAGAUUAGAUAGUUGGUGAGGUAACGGCUCACCAAGUCUGCGAUCUUUAGGGGGCCUGAGAGGGUGAUCCCCCACACUGGUACUGAGACACGGAUCAGACUCCUACGGGAGGCAGCAGUGAGGAAUAUUGGACAAUGGGUGAGAGCCUGAUCCAGCCAUCCCGCGUGAAGGACGACUGCCCUAUGGGUUGUAAACUUCUUUUGUAUAGGGAUAAACCUACUCUCGUGAGAGUAGCUGAAGGUACUAUACAAAUAAGCACCGGCUAACUCCGUGCCAGCCGCCGCGGUAAUAC